UCACAUGACUGGGCGCAGCCUGCUGCAGCCUGCCGCGUGUGUGAAGAAGGCCUUCGGGUUGUAAAGCACUCUCAGUCAGGAGGAAAGGUUAGUAGUUAAUACCUGCUAGCUGUGACGUUACUGACAGAAGAAGCACCGGCUAACUCCGUGCCAGCAGCCGCGGUAAUACGGAGGGUGCGAGCGUUAAUCGGAAUUACUGGGCGUAAAGCGCACGCAGGCGGUUUGUUAAGCGAGAUGUGAAAGCCCCGGGCUCAACCUGGGAACUGCAUUUCGAACUGGCAAACUAGAGUGUGAUAGAGGGUGGUAGAAUUUCAGGUGUAGCGGUGAAAUGCGUAGAGAUCUGAAGGAAUACCGAUGGCGAAGGCAGCCACCUGGGUCAACACUGACGCUCAUGUACGAAA
rnacentral:rRNA from 1 species